rnacentral:ncRNA from 1 species
AGCUGGUGCCAAAAUUUGGGUAAAAGGGAAGUCAGUGUGAAUCUGAAACGAUCUCGUCACUGUGAUGGGGAGUAGUCCAUAGAAGCCACUGAGACAAAUUUGUCUUGGGAAGGCUGGAGCUUUGUUAUCAUCAUGGCUAAGCUAGGAAUUCAAAUAAGCCGAGGUGUAUUUGAACUGAGAAGGAGAUAUACGCUUCCAGCUGUAAUAACUACGAUGAACCUAAGUCAGGAAACCUGCCAGUUAUGAUA